rnacentral:rRNA from 1 species
AUGAACGCUAGCGGGAGGCCUAACACAUGCAAGUCGAACGGGAUUGAGAGCUUGCUCUCAUGAGAGUGGCGCACGGGUGAGUAACGCGUAUGCAACCUGCCUUUAACAAAGGGAUAGCCCAUAGAAAUGUGGAUUAAUACCUCAUAGUUCUUUUGAUCCGCAUGGAUUGAAAGAUAAAGCUCCGGCGGUUAAAGAUGGGCAUGCGUGACAUUAGCUAGUUGGUAAGGUAACGGCUUACCAAGGCUACGAUGUCUAGGGGUUCUGAGAGGAUGAUCCCCCACACUGGUACUGAGACACGGACCAGACUCCUACGGGAGGCAGCAGUGAGGAAUAUUGGUCAAUGGGCGCAAGCCUGAACCAGCCAUCCCGCGUGAAGGAUGAAGGCCCUAUGGGUCGUAAACUUCUUUUAUACGCCAAGAAAAUUUCGGACGUGUCCGAAACUGACGGUAGUGUAUGAAUAAGCAUCGGCUAACUCCGU